rnacentral:rRNA from 1 species
UACAGAGUGGGCAAGCGUUGUUCGGAAUUACUGGGCGUAAAGGGCGCGUAGGCGGCCUUCUAAGUCAGAUCGUGAAAUCCCCCGGCUUAACCUGGGAACUGCGUCUGAUACUGGGAGGCUUGAGUAUGGGAGAGGGAUGUAGAAUUCCAGGUGUAGCGGUGAAAUGCGUAGAUAUCGGAGGAAUACCGGUGGCGAAGGCGGCAUCCUGGGACCAUUACUGACGC